UACGGAAGGCAGCAGUGGGGAAUAUUGCACAAUGGGCGCAAGCCUGAUGCAGCCAUGCCGCGUGUAUGAAAAAGGCCUUCGGGUUGUAAAGUACUUUCAGUCGUGAGGAAGGUGUUAAGGUUAAUAACCUUAGCAAUUGACGUUAGCGACAGAAGAAGCACCGGCUAACUCCGUGCCAGCAGCCGCGGUAAUACGGAGGGUGCGAGCGUUAAUCGGAAUUACUGGGCGUAAAGGGCACGCAGGCGGUUAAUUAAGUUGGAUGUGAAAUCCCCGGGCUUAACCUGGGAAUGGCAUUCAAGACUGGUUAGCUAGAGUCUUGUAGAGGGGGUAGGAAUUCCACUGUGUAGCGGUGAAAUAGCGUAGAGAUGUGGAGGAAGUACCGGUGGGCGAAGGCGGGCCCCCUCGGAGAAACGAACUGACGCUCAUGUGCGAAAGACGUGGGGAGGGCAAACAAGGGAGUUAGUAUACC
rnacentral:rRNA from 1 species